rnacentral:lncRNA from 1 species
AACUAUAAACGCCUCGCUUUCUAGAAAAUCAUUCAUUCUAAAAUUAUUUUAGUUCUGUCACAUUAUCUACUGUAUAAAAUAUUAUAAUCAAAUUAAAUAAUUUAGUUUUAUUAUAUCUUAUGCAUAUAUAGUAUUAUUUUAAAUUCUAGAGUGUCUCACGUUUUCGUAAAGCUCAAACGCACACUUACAAAAACCAAACGAGUCUUACUAAUCUUAACCAUUCUUAUUGGGUCAUCCGUCUUAACCAUUCUUAUUGGGUCGUCUGUAGUAUUAUUCUGAUUUAGCCGAAACUUAUCUCACGUUUUUCGCCCAGUACUUGACUCUGUUGUCAACUGUGAUCCCCCGCUUCGAUUCAUGGCUGUCGAAUCGUCGGCGCUAACCAUUAAUGCCAAUAACUCGAGCUGCUAAACAUACGCAACUAAUUCACUUAAAGCGUACUGAUAUAGCACCUACAAGUUUCGAUUGUGACUCACUCCAACCCGCCUUAAGCCAUUUCGAAUAUGAUUCGGUCCAAAACCCAACCUCAUGUCAUUUCAAACGUGAAGUUGACCCAAUCUAGUCUCCCACUAUAUGACAGAAUCUGGUACUUUUAAGUCAAUCCCAACCUCAUGGGUGUAAACACCAUUCAAAAUACUAUAACCGGAUUAAGAGAUGUAUUAUAUCUCAUUUCCAAAUUCUAGAAAUGACACAAAAAAUUUUCAAAUGUAAAAUUAAUUUACUUUCUGUUUAUUUCAAAAAUUAUAUUCAGUUCUUAAAUUAAAGAAAAAUAAUUUAUUUUUGAAAAAAAAAAUACUAAUCAAUCU